rnacentral:tRNA from 1 species
UGUAGCUCAGUGGUAGAGCACUUGCCUAGCAUGUGAGAGGUACUAGGUUUUAUCCCUGGCA